rnacentral:rRNA from 1 species
AGAGUUUGAUCCUGGCUCAGGACGAACGCUGGCGGCGUGCCUAACACAUGCAAGUCGAACGGAGUUAUUUAAAUAGAACCCUUCGGGGUGACGUUUUAAUAACUUAGUGGCGGACGGGUGAGUAACGCGUGAGUAACCUGCCUUUCAGAGGGGGAUAACGUCCUGAAAAGGACGCUAAUACCGCAUGAUAUAUUUGUGCCGCAUGGUAUGGAUAUCAAAGGAGCAAUCCGCUGGAAGAUGGACUCGCGUCCGAUUAGCUAGUUGGAGGGGUAACGGCCCACCAAGGCGACGAUCGGUAGCCGGACUGAGAGGUUGAACGGCCACAUUGGGACUGAGACACGGCCCAGACUCCUACGGGAGGCAGCAGUGGGGGAUAUUGCGCAAUGGGGGAAACCCUGACGCAGCAACGCCGCGUGAAGGAAGAAGGUUUUCGGAUUGUAAACUUCUUUUCUAAGGGACGAAGAAGUGACGGUACCUUAGGAAUAAGCUCCGGCUAACUACGUGCCAGCAGCCGCGGUAAUACGUAGGGAGCAAGCGUUGUCCGGAUUUACUGGGUGUAAAGGGUGCGUAGGCGGCAAUGCAAGUCAGAUGUGAAAUGCACGGGCUCAACCCGUGAGCUGCAUUUGAAACUGUGUUGCUUGAGUGAGGUAGAGGCAGGCGGAAUUCCCGGUGUAGCGGUGAAAUGCGUAGAGAUCGGGAGGAACACCAGUGGCGAAGGCGGCCUGCUGGGCCUUAACUGACGCUGAUGCACGAAAGCGUGGGUAGCAAACAGGAUUAGAUACCCUGGUAGUCCACGCUGUAAACG